rnacentral:lncRNA from 1 species
CUGUCCUCACCAUAGCUAUACUAUUAAUUGAUAGUUGUAUUUGUCUUGGCUAAUUUAUUAAUUAGUUUAGUGGACAUCAAGUUUUUGGUACCGUUCAUGGGAACUAGGAUAUUAGGAAGUUAAUUUAACCAAUUUUUAAUUUUUUAUGUUAUUUUGUUUUUAGUUUAAUUUUGAUAUAUUUAUUGCCUUUCAUCUGGUUUUUGGCAGGUUCUUU